GGUUGUAGCUCAGUGGUAGGGCACUUGCCUUGUACAUGUGAGGCACUGGGUUGGAUCCUCAGCACCA
rnacentral:tRNA from 1 species